rnacentral:rRNA from 1 species
GACGAACGCUGGCGGCGUGCUUAACACAUGCAAGUCGAACGGAAAGGCCCUGCUUUUGUGGGGUGCUCGAGUGGCGAACGGGUGAGUAACACGUGAGUAACCUGCCCUUGACUUUGGGAUAACUUCAGGAAACUGGGGCUAAUACCGGAUAGGAGCUCCUGCUGCAUGGUGGGGGUUGGAAAGUUUCGGCGGUUGGGGAUGGACUCGCGGCUUAUCAGCUUGUUGUUGGGGUAGUGGCUUACCAAGGCUUUGACGGGUAGCCGGCCUGAGAGGGUGACCGGCAAAAUUGGGACAGAAAUAGGGCCCAGACUCAUAAGGGAGGCAACAGUGGGGAAUAAUACACAAUGGGCGGAAGCCUGAUGCAGAAGCGCCGCGUGCGGGAUGACGAACUUAGGGUUGUAAACCGCUUUCGCCUGUGACGGAGAGUGAGUGAAAGUAGAGGGUAAAGAAGCACCGGCUAACUACGUG